rnacentral:rRNA from 3 species
CAAUUUUUUUGAGAGUUUGAUCCUGGCUCAGGAUGAACGCUGGCUGUGUGCCUAAUACAUGCAUGUCGAGCGGAGUAUUAAUUUAUUAGUGCUUAGCGGCAAAUGGGUGAGUAACACGUAUUUAACCUACCUCAAAGACUGGGAUAACAACAGGAAACUGUUGCUAAUACCGGAUAUGUAUUUAGAUCGCAUGAUUUAGAUAUCAAAGGAGCGUUUGCUUCACUUUGAAAUGGGAGUGCGUUACAUUAGCUAGUUGGUAGGGUAAUGGCCUACCAAGGCGAUGAUGUAUAGCUGAGUUGAGAGACUGAACAGCCACACUGGGACUGAGAUACGGCCCAGACUCCUACGGGAGGCAGCAGUAGGGAAUUUUCCACAAUGGACGAAAGUCUGAUGGAGUGACACAGCGUGCAGGAUGAAGGUCUUCGGAUUGUAAACUGCUGUUAUAAGGGAAGAAAAGCUUAGGGAGGAAAUGCCCUAAGUAUGACGGUACCUUGUCAGAAAGCACCGGCUAACUAUGUGCCAGCAGCCGCGGUAAUACAUAGGGUGCAAGCGUUAUCCGAAAUUAUUGGGUGUAAAGAGUUCGUAGGUUGUUUGUUAAGUCAGAAGUUAAAUCCCGGGGCUCAACCCUGGCCCGCUUUUGAUACUAGCAAACUAGAGUUAUAAAGAGGUUAGUGGAAUUCCUAGUGAAGCGGUGAAAUGUGUAGAUAUUAGGAAGAACAUCAAUGGCGAAGGCAGCUAACUGGUUAUGUACUGACACUGAGGAACGAAAGCGUGGGGAGCAAACAGGAUUAGAUACCCUGGUAGUCCACGCCGUAAACGAUGAUCAUUAGCUGGUGGAAUUUUUCACUAGCGCAGCUAACGCAUUAAAUGAUCCACCUGAGUAGUAUGCUCGCAAGAGUGAAACUUAAAGGAAUUGACGGGGACCCGCACAAGCGGUGGAGCAUGUGGUUUAAUUUGACGAUACGCGUAGAACCUUACCCACUCUUGACAUCCUUCGCAAAGCUAUAGAGAUAUAGUGGAGGUUAACGGAGUGACAGAUGGUGCAUGGUUGUCGUCAGCUCGUGUCGUGAGAUGUUCGGUUAAGUCCUGCAACGAGCGCAACCCCUAUCUUUAAUUACUACAUUAAGUUGAGGACUUUAAAGAUACUGACCAAGCAAUUGGUAGGAAGGUGGGGAUGACGUCAAAUCAUCAUGCCUCUUACGAGUGGGGCAACACACGUGCUACAAUGGCCGGUACAAAGAGAAGCAAGAUGGUGACAUGGAGCAAAUCUCAAAAAACCGGUCUCAGUUCGGAUUGAAGUCUGCAACUCGACUUCAUGAAGUUGGAAUCGCUAGUAAUCGUAGAUCAGCUACGCUACGGUGAAUACGUUCUCGGGUCUUGUACACACCGCCCGUCACACCAUGGGAGCUGGUAAUGCCCAAAGUCGGUUUAGCUAACCUCGGAGGCGACUGUCUAAGGCAGGACUGGUGACUGGGGUGAAGUCGUAACAAGGUAUCCCUACGAGAACGUGGGGAUGGAUCACCUCCUUUCU